AGCGAACGUUAGCGGCGGGCCUAACACAUGCAAGUCGAACGCGAAAGGUCUUCGGACUGAGUAGAGUGGCGCACGGGUGAGUAACACGUAGGUAAUCUACCCUUUGGCGGGGGAUAACGUUCCGAAAGGAGCGCUAAUACCGCAUAAGACCACGGAGUCUCCGGACGCUGUGGGAAAAGGUGGCCUCUUCUUGAAAGCUACCACCGAAGGAUGAGCCUGCGUCCCAUCAGCUAGUUGGUAAGGUAAUGGCUUACCAAGGCGAAGACGGGUAGCUGGUUUGAGAGAAUGAUCAGCCACACUGGCACUGGAACACGGGCCAGACUCCUACGGGAGGCAGCAGUGAGGAAUAUUGGGCAAUGGGCGAAAGCCUGACCCAGCCACGCCGCGUGAGUGAUGAAGGCCCUCGGGUCGUAAAGCUCUGUGGAGAGGGACGAAAACCCUGGUUUCAAAUAGGCUCCAGGCUCGACGGUACCUCUUUAGCAAGCACCGGCUAACUCUGUGCCAGCAGCCG
rnacentral:rRNA from 1 species